AACAGGUGCCCCUGAUGGGGGCUUAAUAGGGAAUCCGGUGCAAUACCGGAGCGGUCCCGCCACUGUAAGGAGGAGCAGAGCUGCACGGACGAGAGUCCGGUCACUGGGGAGAGAUCCUUGGGAAGACGCAGCCGCGCGAGGAUUCCAAGCCAGGAGAACUGCCUGUUU
rnacentral:ncRNA from 1 species